GCUCUUACACUGACUGUGAAAUGCAGUUGUAUGACAUGGGGGCAAAAAAACACACUGAAACAAUUAAUCAAAAAAGGGUUUGUAAAAGACCAACGUUUUUGACUUCAACAUAAGACUAAUAACGUCAAAUAACUUCAGAAUACUUUAAUGUUUGAUUUAUUAUUUCAAUGUGUUUUUUGCGCCCCAUGUCAUACAACUGAACAGGCUUAGACACUCCUAGCUGAGUG